rnacentral:misc_RNA from 1 species
GGAAGUAAACGUCGUAACAAGGUUUCCGUAGGUGAACCUGCGGAAGGAUCAUUCAUAAUAAGUGUUUUAUGGCGCUUUUUUAAAUCCGUAUCCACCUUGUGUGCAAUGUCAGGGUUGAUUUUUCUCUCGAGAGGAUCAACCCCAAACAUCAACUAUAUCUCAACUCUUUGUCUGAAAAAUAUUAUGAAUAAAACAAUUCAAAAUACAACUUUCAACAACGGAUCUCUUGGCUCUC